GAUGAACGCUGGCGGCGUGCUUAACACAUGCAAGUCGAACGGUGAACACGGAGCUUGCUCUGUGGGAUCAGUGGCGAACGGGUGAGUAACACGUGAGCAACCUGCCCCUGACUCUGGAAUAAGCGCUGGAAACGGCGUCUAAUACUGGAUACGAGUAGCGGACGCAUGGUCCGUUACUGGAAAGAUUUUUUGGUGGGGGAUGGGCUAGCGGCCUAUCAGCUUGUUGGUGAGGUAAUGGCUCACCAAGGCGUCGACGGGUAGCCGGCCUGAGAGGGUGACCGGCCACACUGGGACUGAGACACGGCCCAGACUCCUACGGGAGGCAGCAGUGGGGAAUAUUGCACAAUGGGCGAAAGCCUGAUGCAGCAACGCCGCGUGAGGGAUGACGGCCUUCGGGUUGUAAACCUCUUUUAGCAGGGAAGAAGCGAAAGUGACGGUACCUGCAGAAAAAGCGCCGGCUAACUACGUGCCAGCCGCCGCAGUAA
rnacentral:rRNA from 1 species